ACAUAUAAUCACUGCAUCACUGCAAAAAACAUCACGUCAAACACUUGCUCGACAUUUUUCCCGUUGGAUUUUCCACCAUUUUCCCGAUUUUCCCGAAUUAAAACGAGGAUCUGACUUACAAUCGCACGCUUUGGCCGGUGAAAAAAUGUCAGUGAGAGCGCUGCAAAUGCGUUCAUUCUAUGCUCUCCCUCUCCACUUCAUAAUUGCUCUCCUUCCCACGCACACUUUACCAACUUUUGCUCGUGAUGAAAUUUUACAAGGUGGUAUGCUAACUCUCAUUUGCUUUGUAUGCGCUUUGACGCUUUGAGCAACAUAAGACAAUUAAAAGAGAGCACGAUGCUACUCUCGGACUCUCGGACCACCUUGUAUAAUACUGCAAAGAGUGAUCAAAAGAGUGUGGGAGUGGGAGUAAGAUUGAGUGACUGGUGGGAGAGUUGCAGUGCAGAGUUAAGCAUAAGCAAAUGUACCCGAGAGAGCUUUGGAGUGAGAGCAAAUGGGAAGAUGAGAUGGAGAGCAUAGAAUGCAUAUGGAGCGCUCUCACUUUCAUUUUUCUCCCGCUCGACGUGCGUUUGUAAGUCAGCUCAGCGUUUUAAUUCGGGAAAAUCGGGAAAAUGGUGGAAAAUUCGACGGGAAAAAUGUCGCGCAGGUGUGUGAAGUGAUGUUUAGUGUAGUAAUGCAAUGAUUAGAUAUAAAUGUACAAAUAAAUGUGUUUUAGUGCAAGAAAAUGCGUCGGAUCAAAGGGCGGGGGCGCACAAGAGGCAAAAAGGCGGCAGAAAUGCAGCUCGACGAAGGAAAAGGGCGGCAAUUUGUUAUAUUUAUGUAAAGUGUGUGAUAUAUAUGUACAUAUGUAAAUGAACAUAUAAUUUUUGUAUAAUUUCUUUUUUUAUGUGCUAAAAUCGAUAAUGGUUAUUUUCCCGUUGUCUCCCGUUUUUUCGUUUCAUUCUUGCAAAAUUAGCUGAAGUGUGCGUGGAAGAGAGAGGAGAAGAAGAUCAAAGAAUGAACGCAUUUGCAGCGCUCUCACUUAAAAAUUUUUCCCGCUCGAAGCGUGCGUUCGUAAGUGAGCUCCGCGUUUUAAUUCGUAAAAAUCCGGAAAAUGGUGAAAAAUCCAACGGGAAAAAUGCUGCGCAGGCAAGAAAAUGUGUUCGAUCAGAGGCGGGGGCAACGAAAAAUGCAGAAUGGCGACAAAAAUGCAGCUCAACGAAGGAAAAGUGCUCCAAUUUGUGAUAUUUACGUAUAAUGUGUGCUAUAUAUGUACAUACAUAUGUAGAAAAUCAUGUUUUUUUUUGCAAAAUGUAUUUUUUUGAUGUGCCAAAAUCUAAAAAUGUUUCCUUGUCUCUUUUUUUCGUUUGAUCACAUGAGUUCCAGCUAUGUGUGUGGGUGUGCGUGCUUGAAAAUUCGUCAAGUUUUGUCCCUUUCCCACUCCAUGAUGCAAAAGUGAAGAAGAGAAUCGAAAAGGAAUAAGUGCUCUCGCUCCAAGUGAAGUUUCAUGAAAGGGGUCCAGUCCAUGAGCAGCGCUAGAAAUCGCGGCAGCAAUCGUGAUCAGGAGGUGGAACGCUUCCGAUCGAGCGAGGAUAAUGUGUUCAAUAUUUCGCAAUCGCAUCAAUUAUCGGGGCGGCACAGGCACCAGGAACGGCUCAGCCGGAGGCGAUAGGGACAAGGAGCGGGAGUGGGAGAGGGAGAAUCUCCUUGCCAAGGAGCUGGAUGCGGACAGCAACAACAAUGGCGGGAUCGAGCCCAAACCCGAGACGGAGCUGGAGUUGAAGUUCCCUUUUUUGAGGCCUUUUUUCUAGCAGAUCCCGGGGCUUCGCUUUGGAUUAAAAAUAUCAGGAAACAGAAUUCCCACCUGUUUUCCACGGCAUUCCAUAACAAUUUCCAUAGAAUAAUAUAUACAAUAUUUUCUGCCCAAUCUUUUCGUUUGCCUUUAGGUUUUGAAAGCAGCUUUUUCUGAAAAAAGGAUGACUACAGCACAAAUCGAAUCGCAUGCCACAAAUGCAUAUCCCGCCUGGCCUGUGGCCUCUAACGACCCCCGGAUACCCUCUGCCCAGUGGCCCCCUUAACAAGUUCGCACCCAUUUUGGGUCUCGUUAAAAUUCCGACCAAAUCACAGCGAAAUGAAACGAGAACACAACUGAAAGAAAAAGAGAGAAGAAAAAAAAACCGACGAAAAUUGCAAAUAUUUCAUUCCGUUUCUUCUGCUUCUCCUUCUUUAUGUUUUACGAUACACGAUAAACAGGAUGCCAUAUGGGUGUGUGUGUGUGUGUUCCCCUUGGCUCAUUUCCCUGCACAUCCUGGCUCCCCUUUUCGUACGUUUUAUGCCUUUUUGCAUACAUACUUUAUAUAUUUGUGCAAAAUUUAUGUGCGCUAUUGUUUUUAUGGCAUGCACCCAUUUCUCCCCCCAAAUAGCCCCAUGCAACCAGCACACCAUCGCCCUGCCACCCCCCCCUCCCAUGGAAAAUGGGGAAUGGAAAACGAAACGAAACGAAACGAGGCAAAGGCAAAGCCUGGCAGAAAGAAAGCAAAAUGUUAUCCUUGUUCGAAAGGCAUUUUAAUGCCAGCCUUGCGGGCGGGGGGGAAGUGGCUUGGGGCACGGUUUUUCGGUGGUGCCAUGCGGUUGGGUGGGUGGCUGUUCUGGCACUUUUCUGCAAAUUAUGGCACAUGCGGCGACGUCGGCAUUAUGCCCUGAUCCUUUUGCUUUUGAUAUGCCCCACACAUACAUACAUACAUAUAUACAUAUGUAAAUGGGUGGCAUCUGCCCCUCUCCCUCUCUCUGGCUGUGUUGCCACUUAAGCUGCUUAUGUGGCAAAUACAUAAAAUAAAAAUAAAAGCCCAGAGAAGGAGCUGGCAAAGCCGAGGCAAAUCCUCACAUAACGAGCAUUUCCCUCUGCCAUAUUUGUGUUAUUUUAUUAUCAUUUUUCUUCGAGCUUCGUCUUCUGCCUUUACACAAAAUGGCGGCCUCCUCUGGUAUAUAUAUAUAUAUAUAUACUACAUAUAUGUAUAUGUCUUUCAGAUAUGAGUUGCCAUAAACUGUAUUACGUGUGUGUGUGCGUGUGUGUGUGUGUGUGUGUGCGUUUCCGAUACGAAUCCAAUUUCUCAGAGGCAACAAUAAAACCCAGCCUCAGUGCCAUGGGCGGUGGGCGAUGGGCGAUGGGCGAUGGGCGGGGCCGUAAGAAGAUAAGCGAAAAUGGCGCACCGCCUUAUGACGCGACUUAACGGGAUUCCAUGCGCCCUGAUUAUGGGCAUAAACACAAGCCAAUCCCUCGCUCUUUUCAUUCAAAAGAAAAUUUAAAUAAACCGAUAAACGAAUCCCCGCACUAAGCCCCAACCAACGUCACAGAUGUAUCUCUGCCAAGCAAAAGAUACAGAAAUGAAGACAAGCAAACUGCUUUAAUUAAAGCCCAAAAAGAAGUCGCUUCGAGUCGAGUGGAGUGGAGGAACUCCUCACUUGUUUAUGACCCGCAACCGUGGCAGCGAUCAGAUACAAUAUCUUCACCUGACACUAGUGCCCCGAACCGCUGCACUGCAGUCGGAGUGGUGACAAUUUAUGACAUACAACAUUGCCGCUGAACAAGAACAACUUCUCCAAGCUCCAGCCUCCAGCCUCCAUUCUGCAUGGUAGCCAAUGGCCGCUGAGCUUAUGAAAAUCAUAAACAUUCAACGACGGCCGCCAGUGACAUCCGAGCAACGAAUAUGCAUUUUAAUAAAAUAUCCUAAAAGCCCCAUAAAUCACACCCAGCCCAGCCAUCGCGUGCUGUUCCUUCUCAAGAGAGGAGUUUAUCUCGCGGCUGCUGCUUAAUGGGACCCUGCUCUGGACCCUGGGCCCUGCCACACGUUCAGCUUUGCGCCGCUCUCCAUCUGCAUCUGGGAUGUAGAGAUUGUCCCAAAAGCAACUACAAUUUUGUAUAUCUAAUGGGGAAUGCCUUUGGUGUAUCUGUACAGUAGUUCGCUUAUUUCCUGUACCACACAAAAGAUUCCCAUAUUUCGUUCUUUAAAGAACCUAUAGAUCACCCCUUUACUGGUUGUAUACCCCCCAAAGAACUCACAGAUGUACAAGAACAUAUAUUUUACCACACUUUCAAAGGUGCCUCUUCCAUCUUCCCAAAUCCCCAAUCAAAACUUUUGCUUUGACUCUCCAAAAACUGCUUUCAUAAUACAUAAUUAUGUGUGAGCCAAAAAUUAUUUAAACUAUGUCGGAUGUGCCUUCAAGUGCCAACUGUCGAGAGGUGCAUUUCAGAGCCGACACUUUUCGUCUAGACUUGGGCAGCCGUAGGCACAAUUAGCCAAGAUCAGAGCCGAGAUGGAGCAGCUAUAAUUAUGACAUAUGAAGGCAGGGUACGACCGAGCGACCCAUGUCAAAAAACGGCAUAAUUUGAAGCUGGUCGGAGACUGGACGUGGACAAGGGUCUCGUGGGUCUGGGGUUUCGUGGAAUAAUGAUGCUGGACUCUUGACACAUUUGAGGGCUAAUUUAAAAGUCUCGCACAUGACCAUUUACAGGGCUGCAUCGAUUAUGACCAAACGAUACGACAAGGAAAGAGAAGGCAAGUCCCCCGUUUCAUGGGAUGAAAUGAAAUGAAAAGUAAAUACCAAAAAUGAGACCAUAAUCAACAUGGCACAUUGUAUACAAGUGUCCCUUACCCCCCCACAGACCGACCCGACCCGACCCUCAGACAGACAUUUAACGAUAACACCCAAAGAUAUCAAAAUCGAAAUAUCGUUAGACAGCCCCGCGCAAAAUGCUUGACAAGCAUAACAAACACGAAGUACAUGGAGGGUGCCCCGAUCCCAGCCUGGUGGGGUCUUUGCUUUUAUGAUGGUGCCAGCGAAGCAGCCACCCCAGCGUGCCACCCACCAUUCGACGCAUUCAACAUGGCGUCGCUUUUCUAGCCAUCGUUUCCCCCUUGUGCCGGGACCACUCGGUCGGUUGUGGGCGAUAUAAACGAAGUUUACCAAAUAAAUAAAACCGCUCGCCUCCACCAGGAUCCCACAGCUCCUGCUCCGUCCUGCCGUACUGCCGUCCUGCCUUCCUGCCCGACGAUUGGGUUGCAAUAUAUCGCGUACGUGCUGGCAUGCCAUAAAUAUGUGGCUCUAUGUAUUCCAAGCAACAAAAAUUAUAUUUCUGUUUGUAUUUGCAACAAUUUAUUUUUCUACCCCCCACACAACGCCCCCAUUGGCACGCCCACCAAAGGAGAAAAGGGGGGGGAGUGGGGAGAGCUAAAACGAAAACAUUUUUCCAGCUCAACUCGCCUCGGAAUCGAUAACGAUGAAGGGGAAAACUGCACGAAGCGAACAAAGGAGACAUCGACAUCCAGACAGCACCCAAGGUGGGAGGGAGAUUUCCUGGAGGUGGAGGGGAGGCAGCUUAUUAGAUGUACCAGUACUCCUAGAGAUGCCCGAAUGAUGGUGUGUUCUAUCAAGAUUCAUCUACAGCUAGCCCUGGAGUUCCUGUUUUGGAAAUCAAGCUCCAUUCCCCCAAGCAACCCCCCACUGAAGGCAAACUCUAAAAUAUGUAGUGCAAGCAAAUUUGAGGAGCAACCGCAGCUUGUGGCAAGUGCUAGCCCAUAUUUGGCCAUCAUUUGAGUGGCGUCCAAGGUGCAGGCAAGCGGCGCCCCAAAGCGAAAGAUUUCUAGAAAUCUGUCCUGCCAUUCAAAUAUGUACAUCAGGUAUUGUAUGUAUGAAUACAAAAUACAUAGAUAGUUGCAUUUGUGCACAGACGAGCGCUCGGGCACUGGAUUUUCACCAUAUUUAAUACACUCGAAAUAAAAAAUCAUAAACAUUUACUCGAAAUAAUUAUAAAA